UACUACCUCCGUCUGCACUAUUCACGUUCAACGUUUGAUCGUUCGUCUUAUUUGAAAUUUUUUUAUGAUUAAUAUUUUUAUUGCUAUUAGAUGAUAAAACAUGAAUUGUAAUUUAUGUGCGACUAAAUGUUUUUAAAUUUUUCACAAAUUUUUCAAAUAAGACGGACGGUCAAACGUUGGGCACGGAUAUCCACGGCUGCACUUAUU
rfam:Oryza glumipatula chromosome 12, whole genome shotgun sequence.